CAAAGAAAAAAACUGUGCACCUUUGCGACUGUGCUGCGAGUCCUGAAGAAAUUGGUGGCCAUCUUCUGAAGACGACUCCUAAUUGAGUGAGAAAAUGCCUGGAUUAAUUGCUCCUUCAGAUUACUCUCAAGAACCACCUCGUCACCCAUGUCUCCGAAUCAACGCCAAGGAGCCCUUCAAUGCAGAGCCACCGCGUUCAGUCCUGAUUUCAUCUUAUGUGACCCCUGUAGAUUUCUUUUACAAGAGAAAUCAUGGUCCUAUUCCAUUAGUGGAUAAUAUUGAAAGAUAUUCUGUCUCUUUAAAUGGCCUAAUAGAAAACCCAAAGGAACUGUUUAUGAAAGAUAUCAGGAUGCUUCCGAAGUAUAAUGUCACUGCCACUUUACAGUGUGCUGGUAACCGAAGAACAGCCAUGAGCAAAACCAGAACAGUGAAGGGAGUUGGCUGGGAUGUUUCUGCUCUAGGAAAUGCUGUCUGGGGUGGUGCCAAAUUGGCCGAUGUUCUUGAACUUGUUGGUAUACCUAAGUUCAGCUACAGUACACAAAAAGGUGGAAAACAUGUUGAGUUUGUGAGCAUUGAUAGGUGCAAGGAAGAAAAUGGAGGUCCAUACAAGGCAUCAAUUCCACUAGACCAAGCUUCAAAUCCUGAAGCAGAUGUUUUGCUUGCUUACGAAAUGAAUGGAGAACCUCUUAACAGGGAUCAUGGGUAUCCAUUGCGUGUGGUUGUCCCAGGUGUUAUUGGUGCUCGCUCUGUUAAAUGGCUUGAUUCUAUAAGCAUAAUUGCAGAGGAAUGCCAGGGUUUCUUUAUGCAAAAAGACUACAAAAUGUUUCCUCCUUCCAUAAAUUGGGAUAACAUUGAUUGGUCGACAAGGAGGCCUCAAAUGGAUUUUCCUGUUCAGUGUGUCAUAUGUUCUUUGGAGGAUGUAGAUCAUAUAAAGCCCGGAAAGAAGAUACAUAUAAUAGAUCUAAGAGCCUCCAAUCAUCUGCAUUUCUUCUUCCAGGUUAAUUUGUCACAGUUAGUGGCUAUGCAGUGUCCGGAGGUGGACGUGGAAUAGAGAGAGUAGAUGUAUCCGUUGAUGGGGGCAAAACUUUUGUUGAAGCCACCAGAUAUCAGAAGAUUGGUGCCCCUUAUGUCGCUGAUAGUCCGAGCAGCCACAAAUGGGCAUGGGUGUUCUUCGAGGUCACGGUUGAUGUUCGGCAAAACACCGAAAUUGUUGCGAAAGCUGUUGAUUCAGCAGCUAACGUGCAACCGGAAAAAGUGGAAGACGUAUGGAACUUAAGAGGUAUACUGAACACGUCUUGGCAUCGAGUUCAAGUUCGAGUUGGUCGUUCGAAUAUAUAGAAGAGGUGAAGGAUAUACCCCAAAACUCAAAAAACUCUAUCUGCCCAUUUCGUCUAAAAAAUAAAAUGCUGUGCAGCAUAAACUUUUCCUUUAGCCAAACUCCACUCUGCUUGGAUUUUGAUUUUCCAUUUGAAAUGCGAAUAAGAAAAUGGAAUGUGCUUACAUUGAUGAAGAAUAUACUUCAAGUGUGCUUGUAAAUCUGUUUAGAAUUUCCAACAUGACCUUACACAA